rnacentral:rRNA from 1 species
UCAGGAUGAACGCUAGCGGCAGGCCUAAUACAUGCAAGUCGGACGGGAUUGGAGAGCUUGCUUUCCAUGAGAGUGGCGCACGGGUGCGUAACACGUAUGUAACCUACCUUUCGUCAGGGGGAUAGCCUCUCGAAAGAGAGAUUAAGACCGCAUAACAUUAUGAAGUAGCAUUACUUUAUAAUCAAAUAUUUAUAGGACGAAGAUGGGCAUGCGGAACAUUAGCUAGUUGGUAAGGUAACGGCUUACCAAGGCUACGAUGUUUAGGGGAUCUGAGAGGAUGGCCCCCCACACUGGUACUGAGACACGGACCAGACUCCUACGGGAGGCAGCAGUAAGGAAUAUUGGUCAAUGGGCGGAAGCCUGAACCAGCCAUGCCGCGUGCAGGAAGACGGCCCUAUGGGUUGUAAACUGCUUUUGCAGGGGAAUAAACCUCGUUAUGUAUAAUGAGCUGAAUGUACUCUGAGAAUAAGGAUCGGCUAACUCCGUGCCAGCAGCCGCGGUAAUACGGAGGAUCCAAGCGUUAUCCGGAUUUAUUGGGUUUAAAGGGUGCGUAGGUGGCUUUUUAAGUCAGGGGUGAAAGACGGUAGCUUAACUAUCGCAGUGCCUUUGAUACUGAAGAGCUUGAAUGGACUAGAGGUAGGCGGAAUGUGACAAGUAGCGGUGAAAUGCAUAGAUAUGUCACAGAACACCGAUUGCGAAGGCAGCUUACUAUGGUUUUAUUGACGCUGAGGCACGAAAGCGUGGGGAUCAAACAGGAUUAGAUACCCUGGUAGUCCACGCCCUAAACGAUGAAUACUCGCUGUUAGCGAUACACAGUUAGCGGCUAAGCGAAAGCGUUAAGUAUUCCACCUGGGGAGUACGGUCGCAAGAUUGAAACUCAAAAGAAUUGACGG